rnacentral:rRNA from 1 species
AUUGAACGCUGGCGGCAGGCUUAACACAUGCAAGUCGAGCGGAGAGAGGUAGCUUGCUACUGAUCUUAGCGGCGGACGGGUGAGUAAUGCUUAGGAAUCUGCCUAUUAGUGGGGGACAACAUUUCGAAAGGAAUGCUAAUACCGCAUACGUCCUACGGGAGAAAGCAGGGGAUCUUCGGACCUUGCGCUAAUAGAUGAGCCUAAGUCGGAUUAGCUAGUUGGUGGGGUAAAGGCCUACCAAGGCGACGCUCUGUAGCGGGUCUGAGAGGAUGGUCCGCCACACUGGGACUGAGACACGGCCCAGACUCCUACGGGAGGCAGCAGUGAGGAAUAUUGGACAAUGGGCGCAAGCCUGAUCCAGCCAUGCCGCGUGUGUGAAGAAGGCCUUAUGGUUGUAAAGCACUUUAAGCGAGGAGGAGGCUACUUUAGAUAAUACCUAGAGAUAGUGGACGUUACUCGCAGAAUAAGCACCGGCUAACUCUGUGCCAGCCGCCGCAGUAAUAC